UGCUUCAGAUGUAGACAAUUUGAAGAAGGGCUUAAGGUCUUUGCAGAGAUGAGAAGGAAAGGAUAUACAUAUGAUGCCUUUGCUUACUGUACAGUUGCAAGUAUGUUACUUAAAACUGGGAAGAUGAAUGAGGCCAACGAGUACCUGGGCUAUAUAAUUACAAAUGGUUUUGACCUUGAUAUGGUGUCUUUUAAUACCAUUGUUAAUCUAUAUUGUAAGGAAGGUCGGCUGGAUAAUGCUUAUAAGUUGUUGUACGAGGCAGAAAAAAAAGGGUUGGAGUCUGACAAGUACACCUACACUAUCUUGAUUGAUGGUUUGUGCAGGACUGGUAAUUUCAAAGAGGCCAAGCAACAUUUGGACUAUAUGACUUUGAUGGGUUUUGAUUCCAACUUGGUUGCUUUGAAUUCUUUUAUUAAUGGGUUGUGUAAAGCUGGUCAUCUUGAUCAUGCUUUACGGAUGUUCGAAUCAAUGGAUGUGAAAGAUUCUAUUACGUACUCCACUAUGGUGCAUAGUCUUUGCAAAGCCAGGAGAUUUCGUGCAGCAUCUAAGCUAUUACUAUCAUGUAUAAGAGGCGGCAUGAGAAUCCUUAAAUCAGAUAAACGUGGUGUUAUUGAUGGCCUUCGUUCUUCUGGAUAUUCGCAAGAAGCAAGGAAGGUUCAGUCUAAAAUUCUUUUAGCUAAGAUACUGCAAAAUUAAUUAGGGAUGAUGUUCAACUUUGCCACUCAAGUGUUAACCGUGUUUAAUUGCCUAAGGUUUUGCAUUAUAACGCUUUGUGGAAGCUUUAAAACUUCAGGGAUCAUGCAACUGAGAAUACAGCCUACAUCAACCAGUUUUAAUUCAAGUACUCGAUCCUCUUGUAAGAGGCAAAUGCAUGACACUGCUGUCAGGUGGUCGUGAGUUAUAUACAUUUCCUCGCUACUGCGAAGAGUCAUUUUGUGGAAGUAAAUGCAUGGUUUAUUACAGAUGCUAAACAGUUAGGUGGGCCGAAACUGUCAGUCAUUUACACUUCCAGAUAAUCUCUGUUCAUUUGUUCUCUUGUAAUGUUUAGUAUUGAAUUUCGAAGCAAGAUAAUAGAGGACAUCAGUUUACUUCUGGGUUGCUCUUUUCUGCAGCAUGCCAUUCUUGGCUCUGAAUCUGAAAUCAUUAAGCUGUCAUGUUUGGCUGCAGAUAAAUCAAAGGUGAGGAUUGUUCUCAGCUUUUUCCCUGAAUAGGUAGAAAUGAAGUGUUCCUACAUAUUUUAGCCGGAUUUAUCUUUUUUCCUCUUUGAAGUUGUUUAAGAUGUGUCGAGUAUAGACAGUUCCUUUUUCCAGACCUUUUAAAUGACCACAACUAUUGAAUGCUAUCAAAUUUAUUGAUAACAGAUGUCGUGGUAUGCCUCUGAUCAUUUGCGGACUUUAAUGCGGUUGCAAAAUGGGUUACUACUUGAAGAGAAGUUUGCGUAUGGAAGAAAGCUGAAGUUGUAAUAGUUGAUGGCGUAAGAAUUGGAGUACAACCAGAUGUGGUCACUUAUAAUACAUUGGUUACUGCGUAUUGCCGCUUUGUUGGCAUUGAUGCAGGUUAUUCCAUCCUAUAUAGAAUGAAAGAGGCUGGAAUUAACCCUGACGUUAUUACGUAUAACUCCUUAAUAGCUGGAGCUACCAGAUAUUGCAUGUUAUCUCGAUGUCUGGAUCUGUUUGAAGAAAUGCUUGAGAUGAGCAUUUUUCCUGAUAUUUGGAGUUACAAUACAUUAAUGCAUUGCUUCUUUAAAUUGAGAAAGCCAGAUGAGGUGUACCGGGUUUUUCAGGAUAUUCUUAUGAAAGAUAUUUCUGUUCAUCCAGCAACAUUUAUUUCUGUUCAUCCAGCAACAUAAGAAUGGAUAUACAGAGAAUGCCUUAAUGUUAUUUAGGAGUAUAAAACGUCAUGGAUUUAUUCCCCAAUUAGCAACUUACAACAUUCUUAUUCAUGGGCUGUGCAAGUUAGGACGGGGAAAAGCUGCAAGAGAGUUUCUCAACGAGCUGGUAGAAUCAGGUCAUAUCCCCAAUGCCAUCACUUAUACGACAGUAAUGAAGUGCUGCUUCAGAUGUAGACAAUUUGAAGAAGGGCUUAAGGUCUUUGCAGAGAUGAGAAGGAAAGGAUAUACAUAUGAUGCCUUUGCUUACUGUACAGUUGCAAGUAUGUUACUUAAAACUGGGAAGAUGAAUGAGGCCAACGAGUACCUGGGCUAUAUAUUACAAAUGGUUUUGACCUUGAUAUGGUGUCUUUUAAUACCAUUGUUAAUCUAUAUUGUAAGGAAGGUCGGCUGGAUAAUGCUUAUAAGUUGUUGUACGAGGCAGAAAAAAAAGGGUUGGAGUCUGACAAGUACACCCACACUAUCUUGAUUGAUGGUUUGUGCAGGACUGGUAAUUUCAAAGAGGCCAAGCAACAUUUGGACUAUACGACUUUGAUGGGUUUUGAUUCCAACUUGGUUGCUUUGAAUUCUUUUAU
rnacentral:lncRNA from 1 species